GACGAACGCUGGCGGCGUGCUUAACACAUGCAAGUCGAACGGAAAGGCACUGCUUUUGUGGGGUGCUCGAGGGGCGAACGGGUGAGUAACACGUGAGUAACCUGCCCUUGACUUUGGGAUAACUUCAGGUAACUGGGGCUAAUACCGGAUAGGAGCCCCUGCUGCAUGGUGGGGGGUGGAAAGUUUCGGCGGGUGGGGAUGGACUCGCGGCUUAUCAGCUUGUUGGUUGGGUAGUGGCUUACCAAGGCUUUGACGGGUAGCCGGCCUGAGAGGGUGACCGGCGACAUUGGGACUGAGAUACGGCCCAGACUGCUACAGGAGGCAGCAGUGGGAAAUAUUGCACAGUGGGAGGAAGCCUGAUGCAGAGACGCCGCGUGCGGGAUGACGGCCUUCGGGUUGUGAACAGCUUUAGCUUAUGACGAAGCGUGAGUGACGGUAAUGGGUAAAGAAGCACCGGCUAACUACGUG
rnacentral:rRNA from 1 species